rnacentral:lncRNA from 1 species
AUACAAGGAACGGCCAAAAACAUGCCUAAAGUGCCACCCAAAAAAUUCAAGCAGACAGACCUUCUGAGCUCCUUUAAACAGUCUCCUGUGAGUGACUGUUAUCUUUCCCAUCCUCUCUGGUUAGCCACUGCAUUAGAUUUAGGAUUAUUUCUAAUGGUAAUGUGUUGUUUCUUUCAGAAAAAGCAGAUUGCCACAGACAGUGAACCUGGGGAGACGUCAGUUAGUGACAAUGUUCAGAAAAGGAUGGCUCGUUCACGUAAGACAGAAGCUGAAGAGGGACCCUCAAGUCUGCAGCAGGUAGAUACUUCACCCGAAAUACUGAAAAUCCUCUGAUCAUUUACUCACCCUCAUGCCAUCCCAGAUGUAUAUGGGUUUCUUUUGUUCAGAUGAACACAAAUGGAGAUUUUUAGAAAAAUAAUCCUUUUCUGUGAGUCCAUGUAAUGGAAAUGUACAGGAGCCUCAAAGUUGAUGCUUAAAAAUUUACAGAAUGUAAACAUGACGGGAAUCCAUUUGACCCCAGUGGAUGAAUCAAUGUCAGUGUCUUCUGAAGCAAAACAAUAGGUUUGUGUGAGGAAAAUUCAAAAACUUUAACCAUAAAGGGGGUGUUCGAGACUACACUUUUCACUCCAGCGACUUCCAUUUCCUGUCUUCAAUGUGGAAACACAGCUCAGGCAAAUUGAUAUGUGUCAAAAUUCACGUUUAGUAAAAUCUGCCAUGUGAAUUUAUAUCACAUGAAGACAUGUGACCAACAGAUGUUUUAGUGUGUCCAUUGAAAAUUUUGAAUGUCAAUGUUUUUUCUUUUAAAUAUUUUAUCUUGAGGGGAUUUUGUGUUACUUAACAAUAUUCAUCUGUUAAUUAUGGGCCAUUUAUUAAUAUAUCAAAUAUUGUAAAACUUAAUAAAAAAAAAAAAACACAUUUUAUACUAUUUCAAUUGAUGCAGUAUUAAGUUUAAAAUGGAGCAAAAGUACUUAAAAUCCAUUAAAUUGGGGGUAGAUUAGUGCCACCUGGUAAAUAAAAAAAACACGGAAAAUCACCUGUAGUACCAUGAUAAGCCUAUAUUUUAUAUAUAAGUAGGGCUGCACGAUUAAUCGAAUGCGAAUAAUUGUCAUGCACAUCUUGUCAGUAAAGCCGGUUCUGUGAUUAGUAGUAAAUCUACAUCACCUGCUUUCAGAUGGAGCUGCAUUUACUACACAGAGCUGUAGUUCUCUGACAAGCUACACAAAACAAUCGCAGAUGAUUUAAUAGCUUCUCAGUGAACUACGGCUCUGUGUAGUAAAUGCUGCUCCAUCUGAGUGCACGUGAAAAUACCACAUCUAAUAACAUGUUUUAACCCCAAAUUCACUUCAUAACGUCAGUCGAGUGUUUGAAAUAAAUCCUUGCUCAGGCAAAUUUGAUAUGUGUCAAAAUUCACGUUUGGUAAAAUCUGCCAUGUGAAUUUAUAUCACAUGAAGACAUGUGACCAACAGAUGUUUUAGUGUGUCCAUUGAAAAUUUUGAAUGUCAAUGUUUUUUCUUUUAAAUAUUUUAUCUUGAGGGGAUUUUGUGUUACUUAACAAUAUUCAUCUGUUAAUUAUGGGCCAUUUAUUAAUAUAUCAAAUAUUUGUAAAACUAUAAAAAAAAAAAAACAACAUUUAUACUAUUUACUAAUUAGAUGCAGUAUUUA